rnacentral:rRNA from 1 species
CCAGCUCCAAGAGUGUAUAUUAAAGUUGUUGCAGUUAAAAAGCUCGUAGUUGAACCUUGGGUCUGGCUGGCCGGUCCGCCUCACCGCGAGUACUGGUCCGGCUGGACCUUUCCUUCUGGGGAACCUCAUGGCCUUCACUGGCUGUGGGGGGAACCAGGACUUUUACUGUGAAAAAAUUAGAGUGUUCAAAGCAGGCCUAUGCUCGAAUACAUUAGCAUGGAAUAAUAGAAUAGGACGUGCGGUUCUAUUUUGUCGGUUUCUAGGACCGCCGUAAUGAUUAAUAGGGAUAGUCGGGGGCGUCAGUAUUCAGCUGUCAGAGGUGAAAUUCUUGGAUUUGCUGAAGACUAACUACUGCGAAAGCAUUCGCCAAGGAUGUUUUCAUUAAUCAGGGAACGAAAGUUAGGGGAUCGAAGACGAUCAGAUACCGUCGUAGUCUUAACCAUAAACUAUGCCGACUAGGGAUCGGGCGGCGUUUCUAUAAUGACCCGCUCGGCACCUUACGAGAAAUCAAAGUUUUUGGGCUCUGGGGGGAGUAUGGUCGCAAGGCUGAAACUUAAAGAAAUUGACGGAAGGGCACCACAAGGCGUGGAGCCAGCGGCUUAAUUCGACUCAAC